AAAUAAGUAAGCUAAUUAAAGCUUUUAGGUUCAUACCCUAAAUAUAGAUUAUUUACUUCUCUUAUUUA
rnacentral:tRNA from 1 species